CCAAUAGCGUAUAUUAAAGUUGUUGCAGUUAAAAAGCUCGUAGUUGAAUUUCGGGGUCAGCAGGUCGGUCGUGCCACUGGUAUGUACUGGCUUUGCUGAUUCCUCCCUCUUGACGAACCGUAAUGCCAUUAAUUUGGUGUUGCGGGAAAUCAGGACUGUUACUUUGAAAAAAUUAGAGUGUUUAAAGCAGGCUUACGCUUGAAUACAUUAGCAUGGAAUAAUGAAAUAGGACGUUCGAUCCUAUUUUGUUGGUUUCUAGGAUUGACGUAAUGAUUAAUAGGGAUAGUUGGGGGCAUUAGUAUUCAAUUGUCAGAGGUGAAAUUCUUGGAUUUAUUGAAGACUAACUACUGCGAAAGCAUUUGCCAAGGAUGUUUUCAUUAAUCAAGAACGAAAGUUAGGGGAUCGAAGACGAUCAGAUACCGUCGUAGUCUUAACCAUAAACUAUGCCGACUAGGGAUCGGAUGAUGUUAAUUUUUUAAUGACUCAUUCGGCGCCUUACG
rnacentral:rRNA from 1 species